rnacentral:misc_RNA from 1 species
CUAAAACAUGUCAAAUUUAACUUUCAACCCACCAUCAAUACUCACUAAAUUACAUAUUUAAGGAGAUGCUUUUCUUAACAGUAGCUCAAAUAUCAAUACCAAACAGACUCAAGCAAUUUUAUAAUGAAGAAAUCACCAGGACUGGAAAGAAUCAAUCCAAAGCAGAGAUCACACAGCAGAAGAUUAAGUAAAAUCAAAUUAACUAUAUAAUGGGCAAACCAUUACAUAUAACAAAAGGGUCAGUUUAUGAAAGCAAAUUUCAUUCCGGAAUAAUUAAAAAAAAAAAAACAGU